CAGUGGAAUGUAAGGCAGGUCGCCUCCACGCGGUGCAUUCUGGGUAACGCUAAAUGACCUGCGGCCUUCACGGCCUGUUAGACUACUACGGAUAUUUAACCCUGGAAUGACAUGGACUUUGCAUAUAUGACUUUUAUUGGAUCUGGUUGAAUCCUGGGCUGGUGGCCGAAGUAUUCCGUUACUUCAGUAUGUAGGGGUGACACCCUGCAGAAAUGGCUGGCGGGCUAAUGCUGAGGCUGCCUCCGUCCCGUUAAAACCCUGGCAGGCCUCAGAGUACGUUCCUUUCCCGUCAUCAUUAAGUUGGUGUGGUAGGUGCAGGUUGAGAUGACUCCUCUUUACGCUGGUCGGCUCUGAACGCAUAGCUUCAUAAGGGCAUGCGUCAACCCUCGCCUUGGCCUCGUAAAUGAGAUAACCUUGGGACCAUCAAAAGCGACUACCUUUCUGGGAAGUGGAUAGCGGCUCUGAGUGGGGACCCAUGAAACAUGAAUACUAAAACUCAAAACAAAUGGACGAGGGAGAAGGUAGGUGGGAACCAACCUAUUCAAAAUUAGACAAUGUCUCAGGAUGGCUGUCAUUACCUAUGCGGACGGAACCGUUCUACACAAGAGGUAAUGCAAGUAUCUCCACAGAAACGUGGCUACUUCCCGCAGGAGGCGGUAAUUCAACGGGAGUAAACUGGAGCUUGCCCACAAGUAAUCCAAGUAAAGUUAAGGUGCGAGACGAAAUCGUCAGCAGGAGCAGAAGAAAAUCUGCUACGACUACUAGUAGUUCGCGAACCUCAGCAAACGCUAAGGGUACUGGUAAGAAAUACGUGUCAGCAGCUAGAAAGCUGAGGUCGGAUCGUCGCAUGGCAACUAAGAUUUUACUGCGCUAUGGGGGCAAAACACUGAGCAAGAUUCUGAGCGAUGCUAGCACACUGGAGUGGGCUAAACGGGUACUGAGCGGUGGAGAAACCAAGCGAACAGGAUCGAGAGAGGCUCAGUCUGUGGUAAAGCGGCAGAGGUUGCAUAAGGGGAAGAUCCCUCAGCAAAAGGCACGGACAGGAGCGGCAUUAACGUUUAACGAAAACGCAAAACACUUCGGUCCAAUAGAACUUUGUGUUUUGACCGCAGCAGAGAAGAUGGAAUCAUUUCCCGGGAGGAGUGGAAACGGGUAGCGGCGGCAAUAUCAGCGGUUUUUAUGAAGGUGGUCAGUGGAAAUCCUGGGCCACCGCCGACGUGUGAGAGUGCCGUUGGUACCAUGGACUGCACAAGCUUAUCAGAUGUGCCGACGAACGGUCGGCUUCCAUUUAUAAGGAAGCUGUAGCCAGAGUGGGGAAAUUUGGAAAGGAGCAAGAAUCGAGGCGAUUAUUAAAACGAUCUUCCACUCCGCCCUCGUGCUCGUGUCUGGCUCCCAGCUGAGCCCUCUAGUCCUGACGAAAUUGAAGAGAUAUUGCGUUAUUGCAAUCCUUCUCUACCAACUCACAACUGGAGGGUGAUCAGGUUAGAGAGUACUCAGAAACCAUAUCGGCAAGUGCUGAUACUCAUAAACAAGGAAUCACUCGAUCCUCUUAACCACGCAAAAGGAGUCAUAAACUAUGGUUUCGAGAAAGUUGUUCUCCAGAUUCUACCGAAAGACGUCAGGACGAUGAUCCGCAGACUUCAUAUGUUUGUAUGUUUGAAGAAGUUGGUGAGAAUCUCGCACUUUCAGGUUUCAACUUAUAUUCCACAUGACGACAACGUAGCCGCUUUCGCUUUUGCAAGUUCGGAUGCGAACUUGAGGCGCUUGGUCUGAGAGGUCGGAGACAUAAUUGCUAAAGAAGAGUCUGGUAAGAGGAAGUGGUGAAAUUUGCAUGAACAGUAAACAAAAUAUUUAUUAAUAUUAAAAUCGGCGCUUCACAAGACUAAUCAGCAAUAUAUAUAUAUACUAGAAAGUGCGGUAUUUCAAAAGACUGUUUUUCCUUAGAUACUUAUAUAGUGUCCAGAGAGCAGUUAGUAAUUUGUCGGUGGUGGUGCAAUUGAAGCAGAUAAUGUUAUGGUAAAUACCGAAGUAAUCGGAAAAAUAUAAUACUACUGCCGCUGAAUCAAGUAAUUAAAUGCGAAAUACUGAAGUAAAAACCACCGGACCAUCUUUUGUUGAGUCAUUCAAGCCUCCUGGUGGUCGAAAUAGUAUAAGGAUUAAUGAAAUGAAUCCAUGGAAUUGACAUUGAGCUUGCUUUACUAGAAAUACCAGCACCUUUUUUGAGGUCUCUACUUCUAUUCAUCAAGAACUUGGAUCCGAUACGACGUCUUCGAAUAAGGACUAAAUUUCAACGCAUAUGAUUACAGGAAAUGAAAGCUGUUGAAGGGCAAGAUAUUCAUGCAUCUUUCAGGACUAUGUCUUCUGCUUUUUCUGACUUACCGUUACCUGAUUCACCUAUCUUUAGUGUUUAUUAACAAACGGUUCCAACUUUAUGAGCAAUUAGUCAGACCUACAUCUACAAAUACAAUUCAAAAUUUAAAUAAACAAUUAAAAACUUAAAAAA